rnacentral:rRNA from 1 species
AUGCCAAGGAUUUGCUUUUGGAAAGGUCAAACUGUGAAACACUUCAGCGACAUGCUUAUUGGCAAAGAUGGACUAUAUGGAGCUCUGGAAAUAAAAGAUGAGGUGGAAACAUGCUACGCGGACAAAGCUGCUGCAUGGGCCAGUACUGCAAAAAAUUCUAACAUAAGAAAAGCUAUUGAAAGGGUUUUAGGGAACUCCUUUCCAGAUAAUGUCAAGGAAGAUAUUUUUCUUAAUUUCCAUGAGCGCAUGAAGGAUGAAAACUUGAGAACAUGUUUGAUAGCAAAGCAAGUGUUGCUUGAUACACUGCACAUCAUCUCCUCUUCAUUGAAUGGCUCACAAGAAACUAUCAAGUUAGAGUCAAGCCAGAAUAUGCACAUGCAAACCAACGAAGGAAUUUUGUCUCGUAGCACUGUCCGACUUGAUUCUAAUGGGUCCGAAAUAAAUAGUGAUCAAAGUCAGACAAAGAAGAGAACAAAAAGAAGCUCACAGGAGUCCACAACCUCAGCAGUUCAGAAAGCAGUGGUCCAAGACAAAAUAAAGGAAAUUUUCCAUGGAGUUGAGAAUGGAGAUGGAUUUUCAACACCGAUAGCACAGUCAACUCACGCCGAACGCAAUAAAGUUGUUGAGCCAGCUGCAGAGAUACCAACUAUUGAAAUUGCUGGAACACCCAUCCAGAAUCCAGAGGUGAAAAGAACACAUACAGAAGCAAAGAUACAUGAACCCACUCAGGAACAAGAUAUUACUGAAAACAAUGGACCAGAAAAGAGCUCGAGCCUGAGUUACAUGUUAGCAGCUAAUCUUGCAACUGUAUUGGAUACUACAGCCAGAGACAUCCAUUUAAGGCAGGAAUACACUGAACACGUAGCACCAUUUUUCUCAGGUUUUCAAGAUAAUGUUGUUGCUACAGAGGUACACACUUUUAUUAAGUGUGUAGACCCCCUGGGAGGGGGGGCCGUCGGCUGUGUAGCAGGGGAGGAGGGAGGCGCCCAAGGCUGUGUUGUUGCUGCCACAAUAUCGACAGCAAUAUCAAGCCUCUGGGCAAGGUUGAGUGUGUUGUUUCUUGUGGGCUCUUGCGAUUUUUUAUGA